GCGGUAGUAGCUCAGUCGGUAGAGCAUUAGCUUCCCAAGCUGAGGGUCGCGGGUUCGAGUCCCGUCUACCGCU
rnacentral:tRNA from 1 species